rnacentral:rRNA from 1 species
UWUCGGAUUUGGAUAUMUAAGGCCAGUGCGAGUUCAUUGGCAGAUAAUGCAAAGGCAGRCSGYUCAGUAACSCGUAGUCMACCUACCCUAUGGACGGGAAUAACCUCGGGAAACUGAGUAUAAUGCCCGAUAGAACACUAUUCCUGGAAUGGUUUGUGUUCCAAAUGAUUUAUCGCCGUARGAUGGGACUGCGGCCUAUCAGUUUGUUGGUGAGGUAAUGGCCCACCAAGACCUAUUACAGGUACGGGCUCUUGAGAGGAGUAGCCCGGAGAAUGGGUACUUGAGACACGGACCCAGGCCCUAUGGGGCGCAGCAGGCGAGAAAACUUUGCAAUGUGSGRAAGCACGACAAGGUUAAUCCGAGUGGUUUGUGCUAAACGAACCUUUUGACAGUCCUAGAAACACUGUUGAUAGGGGUGGGCAAGUUCUGGUGUCAGCCGCCGCGGUAAAACCAGCACCUCAAGUGGUCAGGAUGAUUAUUGGGCCUAAAGCAUCCGUAGCCGGCUCUCUGUAAGUUUUCGGUUAAUMUCUGUACGCUCAACGUACAGGCUGCCGGGAAUACUGCAGAGCUAGGGAGUGGGGAGAGGUAGACGGUACUUCGGUAGGAAGGGGUAAAAUCCUUUGAUCUAUUGAUGACCACCUGUGGCGAAGGCGGUCUACCAGAACACGUCCGACGGUGAGGGAUGAAAGCUGGGGGAGCAAACCGGAUUAGAUACCCGGGUAGUCCCAGCUGUAAACUAUGCAAACUCAGUGAUGCAUUGGCUUGUGGCCAAUGCAGUGCUGCAGGGAAGCCGUUAAGUUUGCCGCCUGGGAAGUACGUACGCAAGUAUGAAACUUAAAGGAAUUGGCGGGGGARCACCACAAGGGGUGAAGCCUGCGGUUCAAUUGGAUUC